rnacentral:rRNA from 1 species
UCUAUAUGGGGAUUUAUAUAGUCUGGCCUGCUCACUGAAUAAAAUUUAAAGAGCCGCGGUAAUUUGACCGUGCAAAGGUAGCAUAAUCAUUAGUUUUUUAAUUGGAAGCUUGUAUGAAUGGUUAAACAAAAGAAAUUCUGUCUCUUUUUUAUAAGUUGAAUUUAACUUUUAAGUGAAAAGGCUUAAUUUUUUUAGGGGGACGAUAAGACCCUAUAAAGCUUUAUAAAAAAAUAAUUAUUUUUAAUAUAAUUAUUAUAAAGAAAUAAAUUAUUUUUUUAUUUUAUUGGGGCGAUAUAGAUAAAAAUAUGGUUAACUGUUUAUUAUAAAAACAUUUAUAUAUGAUAAUAAAUGAUCCUUAGUAUAAAGAUUAGAAGACAAAGUUACUUUAGGGAUAACAGCGUUAUUUCUUUUAAGAGUUCUUAUUGAAAAAGAAGUUUGCGACCUCGAUGUUGAAUUAAAAUAUCUUUACAGUGUAGCCGUUGUAAGAAGAAGGUCUGUUCGACCUUUAAAAUUUUACA